AGGAAGAGCGAAGUGACUUAGCGGCGGACGGGUGAGUAACGCGUGGGUAACCUGCCUUGUACUGGGGGAUAACAGUUAGAAAUGACUGCUAAUACCGCAUAAGCGCACAGUGCUGCAUGGCACAGUGUGAAAAACUCCGGUGGUAUGAGAUGGAUCCGCGUCUGAUUAGAUAGUUGGUGGGGUAACGGCCUACCAAGUCUACGAUCAGUAGCCGGACUGAGAGGUUGAACGGCCACAUUGGGACUGAGAUACGGCCCAGACUCC
rnacentral:rRNA from 1 species